ACAUGGCUGGCUCAAUUGGUAGAGCAUAUGACUCUGGAUCCUAGGGUUGUGAGUUCAAGCCCCACACUGAGUG
rnacentral:tRNA from 1 species